CUGCACUGCAGCGCGAACUGGUUUCCUUGAGUACGCACAAAGUGGGCGGAAUUCGUGGUGUAGCGGUGAAAUGCUUAGAUAUCACGAAGAACUCCGAUUGCGAAGGCAGCUCACUGGAGCGCAACUGACGCUGAAGCUCGAAAGUGCGGGUAUCGAACAGGAUUAGAUACCCUGGUAGUCCGCACGGUAAACGAUGGAUGCCCGCUGUUGGUCUGAAUAGGUCAGCGGCCAAGCGAAAGCAUUAAGCAUCCCACCUGGGGAGUACGCCGGCAACGGUGAAACUCAAAGGAAUUGACGGGGGCCCGCACAAGCGGAGGAACAUGUGGUUUAAUUCGAUGAUACGCGAGGAACCUUACCCGGGCUUAAAUUGCAGACGAAUUACGAGGAAACUUGUAAGCCGCAAGGCGUCUGUGAAGGUGCUGCAUGGUUGUCGUCAGCUCGUGCCGUGAGGUGUCGGCUUAAGUGCCAUAACGAGCGCAACCCUUGUUGUCAGUUACUAACAGGUUCCGCUGAGGACUCUGACGAGACUGCCAUCGUAAGAUGUGAGGAAGGUGGGGAUGACGUCAAAUCAGCACGGCCCUUACGUCCGGGGCUACACACGUGUUACAAUGGGGGGUACAGAGGGCCGCUACCACGCGAGUGGAUGCCAAUCCCCAAAACCUCUCUCAGUUCGGACUGGAGUCUGCAACCCGACUCCACGAAGCUGGAUUCGCUAGUAAUCGCGCAUCAGCCACGGCGCGGUGAAUACGUUCCCGGGCCUUGUACACACCGCCCGUCAAGCCAUGGGAGCCGGGGGUACCUGAAGUGCGUAACCGCGAGGAGCGCCCUAGGGUAAAACUGGUGACUGGGGCUAAGUCGUAACAAGGUAGCCGUACCGGAAGGUGCGGCUG
rnacentral:rRNA from 1 species